UUUUGGUGAGGAAGCAAACAAGGCCAGAGCAAACCUUAUUGGGUGUCAUGGGAUACAAUAAGUAUGUCCAAAUAUAUGGGGGGUCUUGGCUUCAGAGAUUUUGAGAUACUUAAUCUAGCCCUCCUGGCAAGACAGGCAUGGAGGAUAUUAGAGAACCCAGAUUCAUUGAGCAUAGAAUACUUAAAUCGGUGUACUUCCGAUUUUCUCACUGUUGAUCUUGGGAGUCAUCCGGCCCAGAUUUGGCGCUCGGUUUUGGAAGGGUGGGAUAGUCUGAAAGUGGGCCUCAUUAGGCGCAUAGGUACUGGUACCACCACUCACAUUUGGAACAGGAACUGGAACCCAAGAAAGGAGAAUAUGCGACCCAUUGUUUCUCUUGUGGCUCACCACCACAGAUAG
rnacentral:rRNA from 1 species